rnacentral:rRNA from 1 species
AUUCCUACGGGAGGCAGCAGUGGGGAAUUUUGGACAAUGGGGGAAACCCUGAUCCAGCAACGCUGCGUGAAGGACGAAGGUCUUCGGAUUGUAAACUUCUUUUGUUCGGGACGAAAGCCCGCAAGGGUUUGACGGUACCGGAUGAAUAAGCCACGGCUAACUACGUGCCAGCAGCCGCGGUAAUAAU